rnacentral:rRNA from 1 species
UGCAAGUCGAACGAACUCUGGUAUUGAUUGGUGCUUGCAUCAUGAUUUACAUUUGAGUGAGUGGCGAACUGGUGAGUAACACGUGGGAAACCUGCCCAGAAGCGGGGGAUAACACCUGGAAACAGAUGCUAAUACCGCAUAACAACUUGGACCGCAUGGUCCGAGCUUGAAAGAUGGCUUCGGCUAUCACUUUUGGAUGGUCCCGCGGCGUAUUAGCUAGAUGGUGGGGUAACGGCUCACCAUGGCAAUGAUACGUAGCCGACCUGAGAGGGUAAUCGGCCACAUUGGGACUGAGACACGGCCCAAACUCCUACGGGAGGCAGCAGUAGGGAAUCUUCCACAAUGGACGAAAGUCUGAUGGAGCAACGCCGCGUGAGUGAAGAAGGGUUUCGGCUCGUAAAACUCUGUUGUUAAAGAAGAACAUAUCUGAGAGUAACUGUUCAGGUAUUGACGGUAUUUAACCAGAAAGCCACGGCUAACUACGUGCCAGCAGCCGCGGUAAUACGUAGGUGGCAAGCGUUGUCCGGAUUUAUUGGGCGUAAAGCGAGCGCAGGCGGUUUUUUAAGUCUGAUGUGAAAGCCUUCGGCUCAACCGAAGAAGUGCAUCGGAAACUGGGAAACUUGAGUGCAGAAGAGGACAGUGGAACUCCAUGUGUAGCGGUGAAAUGCGUAGAUAUAUGGAAGAACACCAGUGGCGAAGGCGGCUGUCUGGUCUGUAACUGACGCUGAGGCUCGAAAGUAUGGGUAGCAAACAGGAUUAGAUACCCUGGUAGUCCAUACCGUAAACGAUGAAUGCUAAGUGUUGGAGGGUUUCCGCCCUUCAGUGCUGCAGCUAACGCAUUAAGCAUUCCGCCUGGGGAGUACGGCCGCAAGGCUGAAACUCAAAGGAAUUGACGGGGGCCCGCACAAGCGGUGGAGCAUGUGGUUUAAUUCGAAGCUACGCGAAGAACCUUACCAGGUCUUGACAUACUAUGCAAAUCUAAGAGAUUAGACGUUCCCUUCGGGGACAUGGAUACAGGUGGUGCAUGGUUGUCGUCAGCUCGUGUCGUGAGAUGUUGGGUUAAGUCCCGCAACGAGCGCAACCCUUAUUAUCAGUUGCCAGCAUUAAGUUGGGCACUCUGGUGAGACUGCCGGUGACAAACCGGAGGAAGGUGGGGAUGACGUCAAAUCAUCAUGCCCCUUAUGACCUGGGCUACACACGUGCUACAAUGGAUGGUACAACGAGUUGCGAACUCGCGAGAGUAAGCUAAUCUCUUAAAGCCAUUCUCAGUUCGGAUUGUAGGCUGCAACUCGCCUACAUGAAGUCGGAAUCGCUAGUAAUCGCGGAUCAGCAUGCCGCGGUGAAUACGUUCCCGGGCCUUGUACACACCGCCCGUCACACCAUGAGAGUUUGUAACACCCAAAGUCGGUGGGGUAACC